AAGGAAAGGAAGGAAGGUUAGAAGAUUAGCUAAUUCUCUCUCUCUCUCUCUCUCUCUCUCUCUCUCUCUCUCUCUCUCUCUCUCUCUCUCUCUCUCUCUCUCUCUCUCUCUCGAUUCUCUUGGGCAGCAGCUGGGGAUUGAGUUUGUGAGAUUGAAUCAAGAGAUAUUAGUAGUAAUUGAAAGCUUUGUUCAAGGGCCCUGUAAAGCGUCGAGCUGCGUUUCCACUCAGGCUGACCGCACACUUGAGCACGGAACGAGGUAAAAGAAAAGCAAAGCUAGAGGAACAGUGAGAUAGAACUCGGCAAUGAUUGUACAUAUCGCGGCAGUGCAGCCUGGAGGGUUUCGGUCUUUUACUAUUUUGGAGUCUGUAUUUUGAGGUUGCAUACUAGCGAGUUAGUUUUGAAAAAAAUAUAUAUUAUAUGUACAUAUUAGUAAAAUACUUUUAACUUGUAUUUUGAUACUCGGGAUCCCGACCCAUAUGGUUAUUAAGCUAUAAAUUAUUAAAAUUAACUUU